GUCGUCAGCUCGUGUCGUGAGAUGUUGGGUUAAGUCCCGCAACGAGCGCAACCCUUGUCCUGCGUUGCCAGCGGUUCGGCCGGGGACUCACAGGAGACUGCCGGUGACAAACCGGAGGAAGGUGGGGACGACGUCAAGUCAUCAUGCCCCUUAUGUCCUGGGCUGCACACGCGCUACAAUGGCCGGUACAGAGGGCUGCGAAUCCGCGAGGUGGAGCCAAUCCCCUAAAGCCGGUCUAAGUUCGGAUUGGAGGCUGAAACUCGCCUCCAUGAAGUCGGAGUCGCUAGUAAUCGCGGAUCAGAACGCCGCGGUGAAUACGUUCCCGGGA
rnacentral:rRNA from 2 species